rnacentral:misc_RNA from 1 species
GAGACUCCAAUGAAAAGAAAGGGGCAUAGAUGUAAAAAGAGAAGCAUCAAAUAAGAGUUCAGCAAACUUCUCUGCAGAGCAUCAUUAGAUCUUGUCAAGCUUUUCGGCCUUGACAACAGGGUUUGCUUUGGCGAUCGCAGCUCUACCUGCCGUCCGGUAAUCAAAAGGGCAAUCAUGCUUGUCGGAGUAGCGGUGCAUUGCACAGAAGACAUUCCCACACUUACAACUGAACCCGGUCAGUCCGACACGCUUUCGACAGGUAUUACAUCUGCUGGGUCCGUCCUUGGGCUUCGCCUCGCCACCUUCAGUUGGAACAGAAGCAUCCAGAGGCUGUACUGAUAUGGUCUUCAAUUCUACAGAUUCAACUAUAACAUCUGCUUUACUCGUAACAACCGGAUCCUUAACUCCGCUGCUGCUGCUGCCGCUUCCAUUCACAAUGCUGUCAAAAGAGGAAGCUGCCAAUUUCUCUUGCUCCAGCUUCAGGACAUGAUCCUUGUAGCACUUAGAGCACAUGUUCAUGGUCGCAGCACGGCCAAAAAACCCACAGUUAUUGACACAGAGGAUCGGGGCUUCAUGAGCCGCUUGACAUCCCAUCUCAUCAUGGUCCAUCUCUUCAACUAGUCUGUAUGAACUCCGCCUAGCCGCGAUGCCAAGCCGAUCCCGCCGAUCUGCGUCCCCUAGCGUGAAGAUGUGGCCUCGAAAUCGUGGAAUCAAG